UUUUUAAUUUCUGUUUUUUAAACAUAAUUUUCAUAGGAAAAAUGCCUAGGAAAAUCUAUUAUUCCUUCAUGUAAUAAGCAGGAAACUAAAACUGCUUAAGAAAAAGAAAAAUGGGCCGGCCUGGGCCGGCCAAGCCGGCCUGGGGCCUUUCGGCCCGAGCCACCCUAGCUCUUGUGGCCGCCCGAGCCACCCUGGCUUCGCUCGCAUUCGGCCUGGGCUGGCCUGCCCCCUUCGCGGCCCAAAGCCCGAUUCAUACUAGGGUUCACUCUGGGGCGAUCCCAGCCGCCCGUAGCGAUCCAACGGUCCACCGGACAUUUCAUGGGGUCAAAAGGGGCGAGCCGGCCGGGGAGGAAAACCCUAAUUUCACUUCCCCCCCACUGCGUCGCUGUGCCUCCUCGCUGUAUCUCGAGCGGCGGCUUCAUGCCCCGUCGAGCGUUCCUCCUGUUCCCGCAGCCCCUCUCUGCGACACGGCCGGACAGCGGCGGCCGGCGAUGGUUGCCGAGGGGCCCCGCGCCGUGCGUUGCCUGCCCUGCCGAGGGGGAGGCCAACGGGGUACCCUCCGUUUCUUCCUCUCGACGCCCCCUUCGCCUCCUGUGGCCACGGGCCGUGGUGGUCUAAAAGACCCCAUACCGCGUGCUGCCGGGUGGCCGAGCCAAUUGCGAGCUGGAGGUGGCUGCCGGCCGCGGCGACCAUGGGUCCCAUGCCGUGCAUGCCUUGCUCUCCACCCCCUUCCCGUGGCGGUUCCAUGCCGGGGUCGUGGCCUUCCCCUCGCCGGCUGCGCACACACCGUGCGGUGGGUGCGCCGCCGUCGAGCGUCGGCUGCGGCCCCUUCGAUUUUCUUUUCUUGUCUCAAGAGGGUGCUAGCAUGACCGGGGCGGAAAUCGUCUUUGUUGCUACCCCCCUUGCCGGUGGCGCGUCCGCCUUGCGGUGGGCGCGCCGCCGUCGAGGGAUUUGGUGAUGAAGUCCUAUGCCCCGUGGGAAUCUUUGUUAUUCUUGGUUUGCAUGUUCCCUUCCUCCCCUUUUUUUUGCCUUUUUUGGAUCGGAUCCGAUUUAUUUCUUUGUUUUUCCUCUGUUUUGGAUCCGAUCCGAAUCCUUUUCUUCGUUUUCAUGUUGGAUCUAGAUCCAUACUUUGCCUCCACGGAGGUAGGUUCUUCUUCCCCACACCUCGGCUUGCCGAUGCGUGUGGGGAUCAAGAGGAACAGGCGCGGCCUUGCGGCGGCGCUCUUUGCCGGAUAGGAAUCCGGUUGCCUUUUGCUUGUUCUUGUGCUUUUCAUCUAGUCCUUUGCCCUCUUGUAGGGAUCAUAUCGGGGAGGGGGGAAACUUUACUUGUACAUUCUUCAUCCGAAAACACAUCUAAUGCCCACUUGGCUCAUGAUACCAUUGAUAGAUCCCGUGGAUCUUAGGCUAGAUGUGUUCGGGAUGAGAUAGUGAUUUGUUACCUUAUGGUGAACUCGAUGAGCUUCCUCCGGCGUCCAUUGUGACGUGGUGGCGACGGUGGGGAAGCAGAGAGAUAGAUGCGGUAGCGGCGUUGAUGGACUUCUCAUCGCUUCAGUGCUAUCCUCUGGAUCGGAUUAGGGUUGAGAGUGGGGAACGAGUGACGGCGGCGAACCUCGUGACUUGUGCCAUGGUCCUCACCUCCUCUUUAUAGCACUGCGCGACAGGGGCCCACCAGCCUUGCUUGGGCUGGACGUCCCCGAUCAGGGCAUGGGUCAAGGUUCUAGUGGGUCGUUGGGCCCAUUGAACGAGAGAUCAACCUAACAAUAUAGGCAUGAAAGACAUCGGAAAAAAGUUGGAGAAUGAGUUCCUUGUAGGCGCAUGUCUUGCUUGGUGUAAAUCUGACAUUAUGGAGUUCGCGCUUAGGAUAUAUGUGAUCAAGUCAUUUUUUAUGUAGCCCUGAGCUAGUUACAGGAAUCACUCGCCUCACACGAUCAAGGAUGCUUUUGCUGCCUGCCUCGAACUCCAAACUCGAAGUGAAGUAUGUGCUGCCCCAUUUGGGGCACUAGCUGUUCUGUUCCUUUAUUGUUGUUGGCUACGUCCCUAGAUCCUCUUGGUUAAAAAGGAACCCAGAUUCAGUGACUUCACAGAGAAGUUUGAGCGUAACUUAGCCCACUGCAUCUCCCCUUCAAUCGGAUCGAACGACCCAGACUGAAUCCAAGCAAAAUCACCCUGACAUGGCCAUUUCAACGUUCCUGAAGAAGGACCCCCACCAAUUCUAAUAUAUAUGUGUCAUGUACAACGUUUAAAAACAGAAAAAAUAUUUUUUUUGUCCCUCAACUCUUUUGAAACUAUAUGCAAAUCAACCUGUGGUUGGAUGGUUAGAGAGACAGUGGUAUCCCCAGCCUAUCAGUGUUCAAAUCAUGAAGUUUGCAUUAUUUCUGGAUUUAUUUCAGGAUUUCCGGCGAUACGCUUUCAGUGAAAGGAGAAGUUUCUGUCGAUGACGAGGCGCCUACAAUGACUUCGUAAAUCUCAGAUGACAUAUAGGGUCAGUCUCUUAGAGGCGCUCUUAGGAUAGGGUGUGCAUGUGUGCGUUCAUAGAAAUGAGUGCAUGCGCGUGUAUAUGAGCACUUGCGUGUGUACUGUGUUAGAAAAACUCUUUUGAAACUAUACAAAAGAGCCCUCAAUUGGAAAACCAGCAAACUCUAGUACCUCAAUUUUCAAAACUAAAUAGAUUUAGUCCCUCGUGCUGUUGUGGGUGUUUUUUCACCGAUGUGCAGUGGUAUACAUGAAAAGUUGAGAAGCGUGGGAAGGUUGCGCUUUGCCUAGAGCCAUGGUGAACCUCCCCUUCACCUCGCGCCGCGAGGCGGCGGAGCGCCUCCACCCCGUCUCGAGUCCACAUCCUCCUUCAUCCCACUUCGUCGCGGUCGGCAGAGGCCACCGGCGUGCCCGGGUGUCGGCGACGGCGGUGGACAUGCCUUCCCUGUGCGCUGGGAGGUGGAGUCGGGGCUCCUUUCUGCCUAGCGGCGGUGCUGCUCGGCUGGCGGCGUUUCGGCUCGGCGGCGGGUUCCGCGUGCCUCAAGUGCGCUUGACGCGACGGCGUUGGCUGAGUGGGCGGCGCGGUGUGCGGCUGGCCGGCGGCGCCCGCUCGCCCAUAUCUGGGCCCUUCCCAUCUGGACUGGGGCGGACCGGCGGUUCGGGGCGCGGCGGCGUGGCUUCCUGAUGGUGUGGCGAGGCGGCUGUGGCUGUAAUGGUGACGGCUCCAGCGAUCGGAGUGUUGUAGCGUGGUUGUUGGGACUGUCCGGACCUGUUGGGGUCCGACCGGCCCUGUGUAGGCCUCGAAAAUCCCUGUCGCUACGUCCGGUCGGCUCCACGCGGCGGUGGAGGUUGUCCCCUCAUGUCGGUCACGUUGCGGUUGCCCCUGAGCCAGGUUGGUGGACGGUAUGUUGGGCGGUGCAUUUUCUAUUGUCUGGGGUGACGGUGGUGGUUUCGGGGCAGGAGAAAUCCCUGGCAACUCGUUUGCCACCGGCGUGGCUACGCCCAUGGGUGCUGCCGGACCUUCAUGAGGGACGUAAGUGAUACCCUUUCCUCACUGUUAUCCACAUACCGGCUGAAACCCUAGGACUUGUCUGGGCAGCAGCGGCGUCAUCGUCGCAUUCCUUCCUGAAGGUUUUGCUUGGUACGCGAGACUUCGGAGUGCAAGGCAUGCGGUGGUACUUCUCCCGAGGGUGCAACAAUUGUCGUCAUCUUCGCUUAGUUGAACUGUCGGCGUUGGCAUUUGUUUCUUUCUUUUUUCCUUUUGGGUUUGUUUGUGCUGCAGCUCCAACGAACUUGUUGUUUCAGUUGGUUGUUGCUUUAUAAUAUAAAACAGGGAAACAUUUUUUCGUC